rnacentral:rRNA from 1 species
UCGGGAAACCGAAGCUAAUACCGGAUAGGAUCUUCUCCUUCAUGGGAGAUGAUUGAAAGAUGGUUUCGGCUAUCACUUACAGAUGGGCCCGCGGUGCAUUAGCUAGUUGGUGAGGUAACGGCUCACCAAGGCAACGAUGCAUAGCCGACCUGAGAGGGUGAUCGGCCACACUGGGACUGAGACACGGCCCAGACUCCUACGGGAGGCAGCAGUAGGGAAUCUUCCGCAAUGGACGAAAGUCUGACGGAGCAACGCCGCGUGAGUGAUGAAGGCUUUCGGGUCGUAAAACUCUGUUGUUAGGGAAGAACAAGUACGAGAGUAACUGCUCGUACCUUGACGGUACCUAACCAGAAAGCCACGGCUAACUACGUGCCAGCAGCCGCGGUAAUACGUAGGUGGCAAGCGUUAUCCGGAAUUAUUGGGCGUAAAGCGCGCGCAGGCGGUUUCUUAAGUCUGAUGUGAAAGCCCACGGCUCAACCGUGGAGGGUCAUUGGAAACUGGGGAACUUGAGUGCAGAAGAGAAAAGCGGAAUUCCACGUGUAGCGGUGAAAUGCGUAGAGAUGUGGAGGAACACCAGUGGCGA